CAGGAACUACUCUUUUUGCAGUUUGCCUAUAGUCAUGUACCCAAUUCCUAAUUAGUUGGAUGAGCAGCCAUCAGAUGCACUGAUUACACCUCUUCACCAUGUAGAGUUCACUCCUCGGGGUUUGGUUCCCCAGGUGAACUUCCUUUUUUUCGUACUUUCAGCACACUCCCCCCCUGGUGGCAGGACCAAACUAGUGGAAGGAAAUCUUCUGUCAGCACGUCAGAACAAAGGUGUUUCUCCUGGCAGCCCUUCACCUCCUGCAAGCUGAAUAUACCAGAAUGCCCACUGGACCAGCUAUGGGGCCUGGAGACUGUUCUGUACCUCUGCACAGUGAUAGUGCUCUCUCCCACCUUUUAUACUCAUAGAACACAAAUGUCCCAUCUGCAAGAGAAGUAACAUGAAAAGGAGCAACAUCUGCAACAGCUGUGUGUAUCAGUAGCUAACCCUUGGGAGGACUCAUGACUGGGCUCUUUAGAAAGGUCCUGAUCAAAAUUUAAAGCAAAGGCAGCAACCCACUUUAAGAAUAGA
rnacentral:lncRNA from 1 species